GCAGGUACCUCAGCAAAGCUCCUGGACGUUUGUGCUUUCUUACCUUGGAGGAAGAAGAAAUGAUAUAAGGGGCUAAAUCCUGCUGAGAUAACAGCAGAAAAUGUUGAAUAAACCAGAGCUUUGUCAGGACCCUGCUAGAAAAUUCAUCCAAACACAUCAUUUUACAACUCUGCUGGAUUUUCUUUUGGAGAUAGUUCAUUUGUAUUUGCUGCGUGUUUGUGGGAGUAGAAAGCACUGAGAUCUAAACAAGGAGGGGCAGCUACAUACAGAUGCAGAAAGUGAAGGGUGAAACACAUCUGGAGACAGAGUCCAAAUGACGAGAGGGUGAACAGCUUGUCUCCACACUGGAGUGUCUGAGGGUGAAUUCAGAAAGAUUUCUGCAUCUUGGGGUUUGUAUCAAGAAGCAGGACAGCUGGAAAAGGUGGUGCUGAAAGAUAUCAUUGAGAUGCAGAUCCA